rnacentral:lncRNA from 1 species
UUUUUUGCAGUGCACCUGUGGUAUAUGGAAUUACCCUGUCUAGAGAGUGAAUCUGAGCUGCAGCUGAGGCCUAUGCCACAGCCAUGGCAACACCAGAUCCAAGCCAUAUCUGUGACCUAACCUGUAGCUGUGGCAAUACCAGAUCCUUAAUGCAAAGGGUGAAGCCAGGGAUCUAACGUGCAUCCUCACAGAGACUAUGUUGGGUCCUUAACCUGCUGAGCCACAAGGGGAACUCCCAAACCUCAUGAUUCUAUGUGCCUUCUCCUCUCCAUUUUCUCAAGGAGGAAAAGAGGUAAUGAAAUGGGCAGAGUCUCCUUAGACAAAAGGUAACUAGCUAUGGGUCUUUAGGUUGGCUGGGAGGCCAUCUUCUCAUUGGAAUAAGAGCUGGGAUGGGAUAGUGCAGCAGUGGCUGGCAUCUGGGGGAGACAGCCAGGAGGGGAAAGAACAGAUUUGAAAGUAUUCCAGGACUGGACUCUUCUUCUCUCCAAGCCUCAAUUUUCUCAUUUGUUUAACGAGAAAAAAAAAAAAAAAAGCUGCAAGGAUUCAAUGAGAUAAUGCAUGUAAAGCAUCUCGCACAAAGCCUGGCACACAGCAGGCUUUUAAUGAAGGGUCAGCUAAUUAAAUUGAAUUUAGCUGGAUGUCUUUCCUUGAUCAUUGUUGGAAGCAACUUUAUGGCAACCAACCAGUUUCCAGAAAACGUGACAUUGCUUCACCCUCCUAUGCCUUUUCAUUGUUCCUUUUGCCUGGAACCCAUUUCCUCCUUUUGAGUUUGACAAAAAAGCUACUUUGGAUGUAAACCUUCCUUCAAAUGACUGGGAGGAAAGUAAACUUCUCCCUUCUUUGUGCUGGCUGCACUGGAGCCUAGGUCUAUCACAGUGUUUCCUUAUUCUAUUGCACAUAUUACUUAUGUGACUGUCUGUCCUGUGGGCUUUGAGCUCUUUGGUUUAAUAUUCAUUCAGCAAACAUUUAUUGAGUCCUUGUCCAUGCUACGUAUGGCCUUUGUGAUUCAUUUUUGUGCCCUCCGGGGUCUGGUAUGUAAUCAGUGCUUAUAAAUAUUAGUUGAAAAUAUGAAACUGAAAAGAAUGUGAAUGUUAAUAUCAUGAAGACUUAGCUUUAAGGCUGGGUUCCACCACUUUCUGGUGUGUAACUUGGGGCAGGUCACCUCACCUUCCACAGGCUCUUUUCUUGUUGUCAAGUGGGAGACAUAAUAUCUCUGUAGGAGAAAAGCAAUGUGCAGCACCUGGAGGUGAGUAAAUGCUCUUUCUCCUUCCUUUAAGAGGAGUUUAGGAGUUCCUUGGUGGCUCAGAGGGUUAAGAACCUGGUAUUGUCACUGCUUUGGCUCAGGUCACUGCUGUGGCACAGGUUGGAUCCCUGGCCUGGGAACUUCCAUAUGAUGUGAUUGUGGACAAACAAACAAACAGACUAGUUUAAAUGUUUGGGACCUUACCAGUGGCUGGUGAGGAUGAUGAAGAGCUUCCUCCAGAGCACAGCUUGGAUAAAAAAUUUUAUUAUAUGGAGAUCCCAUUGACUUAGAGGUUACAAACCUAACUAGUAUCCAUGAGGACUCGUGUUUGAUUCCUGGCAUCCCUCACUGGGUUAAGGAUCUGGUCUUGCCUUGAGCUGUGGUGUAAGGCACAGACAUAGCUUGGAUCCCAUGUUGCUUUGGCUGUGAUAUGGAGUGACCACUGUUUUUCUGAUUUGACCCCUAGCAUGGGAACUUCCUUAUGCUAUGUGUGCAUCCCUAAAAAUAGACCAAAAAUUGAUUAUAUCAUAUGCUAGUGAGGUUGUGAUGGUAGAAUAUAAACUGAGCGAUUUGGAGGACAAUUUGGCAAUGAACUACCCACAACCAUGCAUAUCUUAUGUCUUAGGCUGCUUGGGCUUCUGUCAGAAAGUACCACAGACUAGGUGGCUUAAGCAACAGACAUUUAUUUCUUGCAGUUCUGGAUGCUGGGAAAUCCAAGGUCAGGGUGCCAGCAUGGUUGGAUUCUGGUGAGGGUCCAAUUUCAGACUUGCUAAUGGCUGCCUUCUGACUUUAUCUCAUAUGAUCUUGAAAGACAGAGAUGGACUCUUCUCCUAAGGGCACUGAUUCCAUCAUGAGGACCCCACCCUUCUGACCAUAUCUAAACCACAUUACCUCCUAACAGCCCCAUUUCCAGAUACCAUCACAUUGGGGUUUAGAGCUUCAACAUAUGAAUUUUGGGGGGUGGUGACUUAUCAGUCCAUAAUAUCUAGUAACUCCACUUCUUGGUGUUUUGAAAACUCUCCCACAUGUACACAACUAGAGAGAUGCAUAAGGAUGCCUAGAGUCUUGGACUCUCUGUAAUGGCCAAACACUAGCCAAACCUAAAUGUUUGUCUGUAGGCUAAUGGGAGUUAAUUGCGGAUUCGAUGUCUAUGUAUCAGUGUGGAGAAAUCUCAUAAACAUAUUGAGAUAAAAGCCUAAUUUGUGGAAAAAUAUAUAGACUGAAGAAAAAGCACAAAAUAUUGUAUGGUUUUCUUUGUACACCAAAUGUACCGCUGGUUGCUCCGAGCAGAGACGAGGUUCCAGUUUAAAGGGCCUCAGGACAUCUCAAAGGAUUUCAUCAGCUUUGCCUCAUCUUCAUAUUCAUAGGUGAUCCUUCUCUGUUUUUCCUUUUUUUGGCCCCAUCUGUGGAAUGCAGAAGUUCCCUGUUCAGGAGAAUCACGUCACAAGUAGUACCUUGAGCCACAGCACUGACAACAUCAAAUCCUUAACUGAUAGGCUCCCGAGGAACCCCCUUCUUAUCUUUUCAGACUCAGCUCAGGGGUCAUCAUCUUUUCCCAGGAGAGUUUAUGUGAACAUCCAACCACCCCACCUCUCAUUCUGGAACCCCACCCCCUGGGCUCUCUAUUAUAACCCUACUUCAUCAUUUUAUAAUGAUCUAAAUGUUGUUCUCCCUCACCUAACUGGACAGUUGGGACCAUGCCCAAUUCUUUCCUCUACUCUUCAUGAUACAGAAUUUUAGAAAAAAAUAAUUUUAGGGGUCAUCUCCUUCUCCUUGGUGGGGAUCACUCCUAGAGUUCAGACAGUGUCUGGGGGUAGAAAGCUGUGGACUUCUAGAUCCACCCAACAUCACAUUCUCCAUGAAUGUAAUCAGCUUGGUGGCUGAGGUUCUGCAUCCAGAACCCAGCUGGAAGCAAAGCCCUUGCGUGUUUCCAUCUACUCACAUGGAAGCAAACACCAGUUAUCAUCACAAAGUGAGGAGC